GAAUCAACAUAGACUGUUGGAAACUUUAUUAUCACUAGUUAAUAGCAAAUUCUUCGCUUUUCUUGAUCUUGUUUAGAGCCGAAAAUGUUAUUACUGACUUAUUAUAAUAAGCUUAAAAUGGAAAGCAUUUAAAAUCAGUUAAUUACAUCAUCUAAAGCAGAGGUGUCCAACCUUUUGUCUUCCCUGAGUCACGUUGGAAGAAGAAUUGUCUUGGGCCGCAUAUAAAAUACACAAACACUAACGACAGCUGAUGAGCAAAAAACGGGUCAGGUGCAUAAUUUUCGUGAUAUCCGCCAGCACAGAUAAGCAAAAAAGUCCUCACAUAGUAAUCUUAAUUAUGCGGCGCCCCGUUCGAAGAGUCUUUUAAAAUCGUCGAAAAGAGGGCAACAUAAAACUAGUGGGAUAUUCGAGAAACUAAUGCAUCAAUAUCUGCAAUCGA